UGAAUAUUCAUUGAAAAUUCAGGUUGUC
rnacentral:piRNA from 1 species